CCUACGGGUGGCAGCAGUGGGGAAUAUUGGACAAUGGGCGAAAGCCUGAUCCAGCCAUGCCGCGUGUGUGAAGAAGGCCUUCGGGUUGUAAAGCACUUUCAGUGGGGAAGAAAGCCUUGGGGCUAAUACCCUCGAGGAAGGACAUCACCCACAGAAGAAGCACCGGCUAACUCCGUGCCAGCAGCCGCGGUAAUACGGAGGGUGCGAGCGUUAAUCGGAAUUACUGGGCGUAAAGCGCGCGUAGGCGGUCUGAUAAGCCGGUUGUGAAAGCCCCGGGCUCAACCUGGGAACGGCAUCCGGAACUGUCAGGCUAGAGUGCAGAGAAGGAAGGUAGAAUUCCCGGUGUAGCGGUGAAAUGCGUAGAGAUCGGGAGGAAUACCAGUGGCGAAGGCGGCCUUCUGGACUGACACUGACGCUGAGGUGCGAAAGCGUGGGUAGCAAACAGGAUUAGAUACCCCGGUAGUC
rnacentral:rRNA from 1 species